GACGAACGCUGGCGGCGUGCUUAACACAUGCAAGUCGAACGGAAAGGCCCUGCUUUUGUGGGUUGCUCGAGUGGCGAAGGGGGGAGUAACAAGUGAGUAACCUGCCCUUGACUUUGGGAUAACUUCAGGAAACUGGGGCUACUACCGGAUAGGAGCUCCUGCUGCAUGGUGGGGGUUGGAAAGUUUCGGCGGGUGGGGAUGGACUCGCGCCUUAUCAGCUUGUUGGUGUGGUGGUGGCUUACCAAGGCGUUGACGGGUAGCCGGCCUGUGAGGGGGACCGGCGACAUUGGGACUGUGAUACGGCCCAGACUCCUACGGGAGGCAGCAGUGGGGAAUAUUGCACAAUGGGCGGACGCCUGAUGCAGCAACGCCGCGUGCGGGAUGACGGCCUUCGGGUUGUAUACCGCGUUCGCCUGUGACGAAGCGUGAGUGACGGUAAUGGGUAAAGAAGCACCGGCUAACUACGUG
rnacentral:rRNA from 1 species